UUUUUUAUUCGCUAAGAAAAUGGAUGGAAACCUAAAGAGCAAGAAGAGUUGUCAAUAACAAUGUUUUAAAAACCGGACCGAUCAUCGAACCGGUGAAGGUAUUGAGUCACCGAUUCAUUGGUCGGACCAUUGAGUCACUAGUUGAACCACAUGACUAAAUCGGAUAAAACUGGAAAAGUCGGUUAAAUAAACCUGUCACUAUAACACAACUAUAUUGGCAUUAAAU
rnacentral:lncRNA from 1 species